AUUGAACGCUGGCGGCAUGCCUUACACAUGCAAGUCGAACGGCAGCACGGGUGCUUGCACCUGGUGGCGAGUGGCGAACGGGUGAGUAAUACAUCGGAACAUGUCCUGUAGUGGGGGAUAGCCCGGCGAAAGCCGGAUUAAUACCGCAUACGAUCUACGGAUGAAAGCGGGGGACCUUCGGGCCUCGCGCUAUAGGGUUGGCCGAUAGCUGAUUAGCUAGUUGGUGGGGUAAAGGCCUACCAAGGCGACGAUCAGUAGCUGGUCUGAGAGGACGACCAGCCACACUGGGACUGAGACACGGCCCAGACUCCUACGGGAGGCAGCAGUGGGGAAUUUUGGACAAUGGGCGAAAGCCUGAUCCAGCAAUGCCGCGUGUGUGAAGAAGGCCUUCGGGUUGUAAAGCACUUUUGUCCGGAAAGAAAUACUUGGCUCUAAUACAGUCGGGGGAUGACGGUACCGGAAGAAUAAGCACCGGCUAACUACGUG
rnacentral:rRNA from 1 species